rnacentral:rRNA from 1 species
AUUGAACGCUGGCGGCAGGCCUAACACAUGCAAGUCGAACGAGUGGCGGACGGGUGAGUAAUGUCUGGGAACCUGCCUGAUGGAGGGGGAUAACUACUGGAAACGGUAGCUAAUACCGCAUACCAUCAGAUGUGCCUCGAUGGGAUUAGCUAUGUGGGGGGGUAACGGCUCACCAACGCGACGAUCACUAGCUGGUCUGAGAGGAUGACCAGCCACACUUGAACUUAGACACGGUCCAGACUCCGACGCGAGGCAGCAGUGGGGAAUAUUGCACAAGGGGCGCAAGCCUGAUGCAGCCAUGCCGCGUGUAUGAAGAAGGCCUUCGUGUUGUAAAGUACUUUCAGCGGGGAGGCGUUACCCGCAGAAGAAGCACCGGCUAACUCCGUGCCAGCAGCCGCGGUAAUUC